rnacentral:rRNA from 1 species
UGAACCUUCGGGGAACGAUAACGGCGUCGAGCGGCGGACGGGUGAGUAAUGCCUAGGAAAUUGCCCUGAUGUGGGGGAUAACCAUUGGAAACGAUGGCUAAUACCGCAUGAUGCCUACGGGCCAAAGAGGGGGACCUUCGGGCCUCUCGCGUCAGGAUAUGCCUAGGUGGGAUUAGCUAGUUGGUGAGGUAAGGGCUCACCAAGGCGACGAUCCCUAGCUGGUCUGAGAGGAUGAUCAGCCACACUGGAACUGAGACACGGUCCAGACUCCUACGGGAGGCAGCAGUGGGGAAUAUUGCACAAUGGGCGCAAGCCUGAUGCAGCCAUGCCGCGUGUAUGAAGAAGGCCUUCGGGUUGUAAAGUACUUUCAGUCGUGAGGAAGGUUCAUGCGUUAAUAGCGUAUGGAUUUGACGUUAGCGACAGAAGAAGCACCGGCUAACUCCGUGCCAGCAGCCGCGGUAAUACGGAGGGUGCGAGCGUUAAUCGGAAUUACUGGGCGUAAAGCGCAUGCAGGUGGUUUGUUAAGUCAGAUGUGAAAGCCCGGGGCUCAACCUCGGAAUAGCAUUUGAAACUGGCAGACUAGAGUACUGUAGAGGGGGGUAGAAUUUCAGGUGUAGCGGUGAAAUGCGUAGAGAUCUGAAGGAAUACCGGUGGCGAAG